rnacentral:rRNA from 1 species
UGGGGAAUAUUGGACAAUGGGGGCAACCCUGAUCCAGCAAUGCCGCGUGUGUGAAGAAGGCCUUCGGGUUGUAAAGCACUUUUAUCGGGAACGAAACAUUGUCGGUGAAUAUCCGGCAAGACUGACGGUACCCGAGGAAUAAGCACCGGCUAACUUCGUGCCAGCAGCCGCGGUAAUACGAAGGGUGCAAGCGUUACUCGGAAUUACUGGGCGUAAAGCGUGCGUAGGUGGUUUUUUAAGUCCGUUGUGAAAGCCCUGGGCUCAACCUGGGAAUGGCAGUGGAUACUGGAAAGCUAGAGUGCGGUAGAGGGUAGUGGAAUUCCCGGUGUAGCAGUGAAAUGCGUAGAGAUCGGGAGGAACACCAGUGGCGAAGGCGGCUACCUGGACCAGCACUGACACUGAGGCACGAAAGCGUGGGGAGCAAACAGGAUUAGAUACCCCCGUAGUCC